UAGGGACUAAAAUCGUUUUUUAAUUGAAACCCAAUUAGUAUGGCGGCCAGUAAGAGUUUUAGGGGAACUUACCAGGUAAUUGAUAACCCACAAGGGGACUCACUUAACUUAAAAGCUUGCAUACCGCCGUUUUAAUUUACUUCAAAAAAAGUAAGUAAGAACCAAAAAAAAAGGUAUUUAUCAGGUCAAGGUGCAGCCAAUAGUUAAGGUUUUAGGCGAGUUACAUUUAAAAUUUUUCUGCCCCCCCCUUCCUUUAAAAGGAAGGGGGGGAGAGGACUUAAAAGUAAAAUUUAAGGGGGAAUAUAGUUUGAAUUUUUUCCCUUAUUGGUGC
rnacentral:rRNA from 1 species